rnacentral:misc_RNA from 1 species
UUUUUUUUUUUUUUUUCUUUUCAAUUUUUGAUAUAUAUUAUAUAGCAUCAUGGUAGUACCUUGAUCCAGUUUCAGUUUUCUUUAUCUAGCCGUGUAUUAUUAGUGUCAUACUGAAAUUUUAAGUACUUUAUGCUGAAGUGAAUCUUUUUAUUUCUCAAACACCUUGUGUUAUUAUGACUAAUAUGUUGAUUCUUAUUGCUAUAGUUAUGUCCAACUUUUACGUCAUCUCAAUUUGUGAAACUAUUGUAAUAACUUGCCAUGCUUGCGGUCCUAGUAUCUUUGUAUCUCCCUGAUCCAAAGUUCUCAUAUUGCUUUAUAACUGAUUAUUUACAAACAUUUUAUUAGUGUUUGUUGACUGGAAACAUAAGAAUUUAUUUGGAGCAGAAUUUAUCCUUUAUUUUUCGACUUUUCUUGUCUUUAUGAAAGUUAUUUUAGCAAAGAAUUUGGAGAAUCCAAUAUUCAUGAGGAAUGUUUUCCUUCAAUUUUUUUUUCAUGACAGGUGUUAUUCUUAGGCCUGGUUUCAUACAUGGGAACCGCCGUGUUGGAAAUAUGAAGUUACCUUUAAGUAUAAUUGGGGCUCCACUUGAGAUGGUAAGAAGUGUGUACUUUGUAUGAUUUUAUCUUCACUGACUGAAUCCUUCAGAUAGCAUUUUCUCAAUUUGACGUUUGACUGGAGAUCAAUCAAAUAUGACCGAUUGAUCAGGAUUAGAAUAUUAUGUUAGAUGUAAUAGAGUUUCCUACUCAUCAAGCAUAAUUAUUCCUUAUCCAUGUGAUGUAUUUUAGUUGUAAUACAAUCCGAUAUAAUCUGUUGUGCAUUUACACGUUUCACCUACUCUUCUGGCCUCAGGGUGGUAAUGGUUAUAGUACUUUUUGCAGGUACUCCAACAUGCCAAGCUACUGACCCGAAUCCCACUCAUCGGUCCUCUUUUUAUA